UGUGUGUGUGUAUUUGUUGGGACAGGUGACUCUGGAGGUGCAGUGUACAGGAACUAUGAGCAACGCACAAUUCAGGUUGCAUUGGUCAGCUGGGGAACCAAGGAUCUGUGCAAGACUCGUGGUAAUAUGGCGGAGUCAGAUGACACCUCCAGAGAUUUCCAUAUUAAUCUUUUCAGAGUUGUCCGUUUUCUCAAAUCUGUCCUUGGAAAUGACACCCUUGAAUAUGAACCACUUCCAUUUUUGGAGAGUUGAAUGCAUUUACAUACCGUAAUUUGUUUUGCUGUUUCAAUUAUAUGACUGUGUAUACCGUAUGUUUAAAAGCAUUUGAUGCACUGAUGAUUUAAUUAAUUCAAUCACUCGUUCAGUUUUUGUCAGACUAUAAGUUCAUAAUGAAAAAGAUGCAAUUUUCAGAUGGCAUGUUCUCAUCAAAAGCAUACAUACUGUACAUACACAUGUUCACAGAAAAAUAGUAUAAUUUUGCAUAAUAAGCUUAUCUGUAUCAACCAUUCUCAAAAUGUGCAAUUACAGUCAUGCUAGUCUGUACUUUAUCUAAUACACAUACAUUUAUUCUUCAUUUAUUCAGCAGUAACCUGUGUCUUAAUGUUUUUGAAGAGAAGCUAAUCCAAAUCGUAUACACUCUGAAUCAGGGUUAGCAACAUGACAGUAGUAUAUGUGCUUGCUGACUGUUACGCCAUUGUGGCAACUGUUUCUAAACAAUUAAAACGGCUUAAUGGUAA